AUUGAACGCUGGCGGCAGGCCUAACACAUGCAAGUCGAACGAGUGGCGGACGGGUGAGUAAUGUCUGGGAAACUGCCUGAUGGAGGGGGAUAACUACUGGAAACGGUAGCUAAUACCGCAUACCAUCAGAUGUGCCCAGAUGGGAUUAGCUUGUUGGUGGGGUAACGGCUCACCAAGGCGACGAUCCCUAGCUGGUCUGAGAGGAUGACCAGCCACACGUGAACGUGGACACGGUCCAGAGUGCUACGGGAGGCAGCAGUGGGUAAUAUGGGACGAUGGGCGCAAGCCUGAUGCAGCCAUGCCGCGGGUAUGAAGAAGGCCUUCGGGUUGUAAGGUACUUUCAGCGGGGAGGCGUUACCCGCAGAAGAAGCACCUGCUAACUCCGUGCCAGCCGCCGCGGUAAUUC
rnacentral:rRNA from 1 species